rnacentral:lncRNA from 1 species
AGGGAGAAGAAAUGGAUUAAUCAACGCCAUGGAGUGGAAUCAAAGAGGUGGCACUGAAAACUGAUCGAGGAAAAGAAAGUAGAAUCAAAAGAGACACUUUCACAUGUGUUUGGUUGCAAGACUCGUGUGAUCAUUCAUAACCACAUAUAAUAACGUUGCUAGCUAAUUUUUACCUUAAAAUCCUUCAUUUGGUUCACUUUACUCAUAAAAGGUUUCGUGUAUUUUUGCA